UAAACUAUAUUUGAUAAAAUUAAUGAACUUUUAAAGCUCAAAUAAUAAAUUUACAUAUCAUUUAAUACCUAUUAGCGAUAGCCUAGUUUAUAAACUUAUAGUAUAAGAGAUUCGAGUUUUUGUUAGGGGGUUAAAUUAGUGCCAGCAGCUGCGGUUAGACUAAACUCUUUUUGCACAGUAAGGGCUGUUUAUUGUAUUAGAGCUCAACUUUAAAUGGUAGAAAAUAAAAUCCUAUCAUAUAACUACUGUAAACAAAAAGCAAGUAAUAUAAUAGGAUUAGAUACCCUAGUAUUUUUGUAGGUCAAACCUUACCACUAAACUUAAAAUAAGAAUAUUUGGCGGCUUUAAGUUAUUAGAGGGGCUUGUCAAUAAACGAUACUCCGCGUUUAAUUUUACUUAAUUUAGUUUUGUAUACCUUCAUAUAGGUUGUCUUUUAUAGUUAAUAACUUUAAAAAAUAGAUCAAGGUGCAGAGAUUUUUAAGCUAGAUUAGCCACAAUACUUACCAGUAGACGAAAAAUUAAGCUAUCAGGCGGAUUUAACUUUAAUUACUAUAUUUAUGAAUUAGUGUCUUUAAGUGUUCAGAUCGCCCGUCACUCUCUAUGGGAUAAGUCGAAACAAAGUAAGCUAACUGGAAAGUGAGCCUA
rnacentral:rRNA from 1 species